rnacentral:lncRNA from 10 species
CUCAGGUCCCCUUGCAUCCUGUGGAAGCUUUGUUCUUUCCCUGUUUGCAAUAAAUCUUGUUGCUGCUUACUCUGUGUAUGCAGUACCUUUAUGAGCUGUAACACUCACCACGAAGGUCUGCAGCUUCAUUCCUGAAGCCAGCGAGACCACGAACUCACCAGCAAGAAGGAACAACUCCGGACGUGCCACCCUUAAGAGCUGUAACACUCACUGCGAAGGUCUGCGGCUUCACUCCUGAAGUCAGCAAGACCACGAACCCACCAGAAGGAAGAAACUCAGGACACAUCUGAACAUCAGAAGGAACAAACUCUGGACACACUAUAUUUAAGAACUGUAACACUCACGGGGAGGGUGUGCGGCUUCAUUCUUGAAGUCAGCAAGACCAAGAACCCACCAAUUCUGGACACAAUAUAAAACAGAAGGCUAGGAGGGGAUGAAGCUGAGAAGAG